rnacentral:lncRNA from 1 species
AAGGAGUUCUGAAAUUUCCUCAAUGCAAUUCAGCCCGCCAGUCAAGACAAAGACAACCAGCCACGUUUUACAAUUUUUAAUGUAAGUUCUAUUUUCAUCAUCAUUUUGAUUUGUAUUUUUGUUUAAUAAUUCCACCAUUAUCUGUCCACUUCCUUUUGAGAUACAAAAGUUGUUGUAGACUCGUUUGAUUAAUUUUAUGAAAGUGCUUCUCUUAAUUUGAAGAGUUUUUUAGAGAGAAAAAUUGCUGCAAUGUGAUUUUCUCUGAAAACGGUUUUGGAAUAGAAAGUUUUUUUUUUUUUUUAAAUUAAGUCAACGUUUCUUCUAAAGAAAGUAAAAGCAAAAAUCAUGUCAAAUGAACGUAUAUAAUGUUAAUUUUGUUAUCAAUUUAAAUUUUAUGUUUUUUUGAAAAAAUUGGCAUCUACUAGAGAACCCCAUACUCAAAUUGUCCGUAUUUGAAUUUCCUAAAAAUAAAAAUUUUUAGUAAAAAUUAAUGAUAUAUAUGAUUAAAAAAUUAAAAAAAAUUAAAAUCCAAAAAUAUGUUAUUAAAAUUAAUUGUUGAUUUGGACUUAUAACUUUUUUAGUUAAACCAAAUAGGUGCGGUUACUUUAUGAAUAAUUUGGAAUUCAAGAAUUAGAGAUUAAAAAUUUCCUCUUGGGUCGCAUUGAGAUUUUAUUUAUUUAUUACUUCUUAACUAAUUCAUUGAUUUUUUUUUAUUUUCUGAACAGGUACAAAAAUAUGACCUAAUUGCCUUAUUGGUUUCAAAACUUUGUAUAAUUUCCAAUUUGACCCAUAUAUAUUCCCAUACAUGGCAAUGCUUAAGAAAGUGGGAUGGAGAGUCAUUUUAUUUUUCAAAAACUCUUUUUCAACUACACAUUCUCAUUUAAAAUAAUUUUACAUAUAAAUCAAUAGUAUUUUUUUAUUUUUUAAUUAUACAUUCUCCAAAAAAUCACCGUUUCUAAAUACUUCUCACAAAAAAUGGGCAAUAGCUCUUCAAAGCCGUCUUCCCCGCCACCUCCACCUCCACCUCCACCUCCAC